UGGGGAAUCAUGGUCAAUGGGCGAAAGCCUGAGCCUGCGACGCCGCGUGAGUGAUGAAGGUCGUAAGAUCGUAAAACUCUUUUCAGGGAUCUUAAAGCACAACCGUCCACAACGGCUGUGUGUGACUCUCCCUGGAAGAAGCCCCAGCCAACUACGUGCCGGCAGCUGCGGUAAUACGUAGGGUGCGAGCGUUAUUCGGAAUUACUGGGUGUAAAGGGUAUGUAGGCGGACUUUCAAGUCUCUUGUGAAAGCUAAGGGCUUAACGCUGGGUGUGCGUGGGAUACUGACGGGCUUGAGGGAUGGAGAGGUGGGCGGAAUUGGUGGUGUAGUGGUAAAAUACGUAGAGAUCGCGAGGAACACCAGCGGCGCAGGCGGCUCACUAGACAGUUUCUGACGCUAAGAUACGAAAGCGUGGGGAGCAAACA
rnacentral:rRNA from 1 species